UUAUGAUAACAAGUGUAAACCGUAAAUAUGUUAUGUACUGCGCAUGCAAUUGACAAUCAAAACUACAAGUCAUUUGAGGGAAUGCGAGUGUGACACUGAUAAUGAACUGAUAGCGGUUACUUUAUCUAAAUGAAUGACGCUUACAUCGACUGCUGCGCGGAAUACAGCGGGUACCCGAGGAUACUGCUCCGCACCAGGGGAAGCAGGCCACAAUUGCGUCCAGCUGCUCUGUGUGCAGGCAGAGGGAUAGGAAGAGAACGAAACCGUAAGCCACGCCAAAACUGUACAGAACCGAACCCAGCGGCAUUAAACAGAUAACCAGAUAAAUAGUGCAAAACAACGUAGAAAAUAAAGGAAAGCAGUGCAACUGCUACCAAACAAAAAUCGCAAUGGGCGAUGCGGGCAUACUUGAAUUGGACACCUCCUUAACAUAUUGCAAGGCCAGACGCUUCAAAUAGUUGGCAUCAUCUUCGGCCACAAAGAAUCCCAUAAAGUUUUGGCUCAUGUAUGGCUCCAAUUUGAUGGGGCGAUCUAGCAGUGCGCCCGUCAUGUCCACGACUUGCUUCAGCGCCUUGGACAGCUGCAAUGAGCAUUCGUCGGGUGCCUGCCAAUGAAAAUGGGCAUUAUUGGUUUGAUUAACAUUCAAGUUCAGAGCGUGCUCACCUUGAAAAAGGAAACUAGCGUUAUGUGCGGCACAUAGUUGUGCGCUCCGUUCCAACCGCACACCUGACGCGAUUUUGACCAGAACUCUUCCAGCUGCUGUAAAAACGGCCCAGUUGGGCACGCGUAUAUAAUGUACUCGCGUGGCGCGCACUCGUCUAACGUCGCAUCGUUUACGUGGGCCAGAAGCCAAUCUGAAGCAAUUUGCACGCCUCUGUUCCCGGUUGAAGCCAGAGCCUUUUCGCUGUUAGGGAGUUGGGAUAAAAAAAAUCAAUAAAUGACGCUGCGCUGGUUCCAUUUA